rnacentral:rRNA from 2 species
UGCAGUCGAGCGCAGGAACCGGCGGAACCCUUCGGGGGGAAGCCGGUGGAAUGAGCGGCGGACGGGUGAGUAACACGUGGGCAACCUGCCUUUCAGACUGGGAUAACCCCGGGAAACCGGGGCUAAUACCGGAUAACCAGCCGGUUCGCAUGAACCGGCUGUAAAAGAGGGGAGUUUUCUCCUCUCACUGAAAGAUGGGCCCGCGGCGCAUUAGCUAGUUGGUAAGGUAGUGGCUUACCAAGGCGACGAUGCGUAGCCGACCUGAGAGGGUGAUCGGCCACACUGGAACUGAGACACGGUCCAGACUCCUACGGGAGGCAGCAGUAGGGAAUCAUCCGCAAUGGGCGAAAGCCUGACGGUGCAACGCCGCGUGAACGACGAAGGUUUUCGGAUCGUAAAGUUCUGUUGUGAGGGAAGAACACGUGCCGGUCAAACAGGCCGGCACCUUGACGGUACCUCACGAGAAAGCCCCGGCUAACUACGUGCCAGCAGCCGCGGUAAUACGUAGGGGGCAAGCGUUGUCCGGAAUUAUUGGGCGUAAAGCGCGCGCAGGCGGUCUUGUAAGUCUGAUGUGAAAGCCCACGGCUCAACCGUGGAGGGUCAUUGGAAACUGCAGGACUUGAGUGUAGGAGAGGAAAGUGGAAUUCCACGUGUAGCGGUGAAAUGCGUAGAUAUGUGGAGGAACACCAGUGGCGAAGGCGACUUUCUGGCCUACAACUGACGCUGAGGCGCGAAAGCGUGGGGAGCAAACAGGAUUAGAUACCCUGGUAGUCCACGCCGUAAACGAUGAGUGCUAGGUGUUAGGGGUUUCGAUGCCCUUAGUGCCGAAGUUAACACAUUAAGCACUCCGCCUGGGGAGUACGGCCGCAAGGCUGAAACUCAAAGGAAUUGACGGGGGCCCGCACAAGCAGUGGAGCAUGUGGUUUAAUUCGACGCAACGCGAAGAACCUUACCAGGUCUUGACAUCCGUUGACCGCUCUGGAGACAGA